UACGUAGGGGGCAAGCGUUAUCCGGAUUUACUGGGUGUAAAGGGAGCGUAGACGGCAGAGCAAGUCUGAAGUGAAAGCCCGCGGCCCAACUGCGGGACUGCUUUGGAAACUGCCCGGCUAGAGUGCAGGAGGGGCAGGCGGAAUUCCUGGUGUAGCGGUGAAAUGCGUAGAUAUCAGGAGGAACACCGGUGGCGAAGGCGGCCUGCUGGACUGCAACUGACGGUGAGGCGCGAAAGCGUGGGGAGCAAACAGG
rnacentral:rRNA from 1 species